UACGAGGGGGGCGAGCGUUGUUCGGAAUUAUUGGGCGUAAAGGGUGCGUAGGCGGUUUGGUAAGUCUGAUGUGAAAUCUAUGGGCUCAACUCAUAGUCUGCAUCGGAAACUGCCGGGCUUGAGUGUGGGAGAGGUGAGUGGAAUUCCAGGUGUAGCGGUGAAAUGCGUAGAUAUCUGGAGGAAUACCGGUGGCGAAGGCGGCAUCCUGGACCGACAUUGACGCUGAGGAGCGAAAGCCAGGGGAGCAAACGGG
rnacentral:rRNA from 1 species